rnacentral:lncRNA from 1 species
AAAUCAGGCUCGCCUCACGUGGGGAGGAGGGAGCUCUGUAGCUGACAGGCUGGGAGGAGAGGAAAGAAAACGAAGGAGGAGUGCUCUGGGCGGGGAGUGGAGAAACAAAAAUCUGGGCGCAUUUAGAGCAUCAGGUCCUGGGGGUGUUGUUCAGCUGCAGUGCACUCUUAAUUCAGGCGGACCCUGCCUGAGUUGAGUUUCUCAGCAGAUUGUCAGUCCCUGUUGGAGCAGACUGCCAUCUAGACCUGACUCCUGAGUUUAAAAUGCAAUGGCCAGAAGACAAGAAAGUAUCUGUGGAAGGCCGUGGACGUGGACGCCAGGACUACUGAUGCUGAUCAUCCUUGGCAUUCAUCAGGGGAGUGGGCAAGGUCAAGGUAGGAGUGGCCAUGCUUUCUGUCUCUGAAAGCCCAGUGUGAUUACCACUUUAUGAUGAGGGUGGAUAGGCUUUUGGCUUCCUGCUUUUGAUAGUUUG